rnacentral:lncRNA from 1 species
CUAUUGACAGCUUUGCUAAUAUUAUGUGGGUGAGUACUUCACAACAGAAGAGAAGCAUAUCUGGGGUUUAACUUCUGGUUUUCUCAGUUCCUCAGAUCUUUUGGGUUGGCCUUUGGAGAAUACACUCCUGCUAAAAUCUGUCUCUGUUCUAUGAUUGGUGACAAAAGCAAAGAUUAUUUAGAAAAUGGCCAUAAUAAUGAUGUCUUUUUGACCCCUCCAUAGUUAAUCUGGACUUCUCCCCUCCACAGGCAGUACCUGGUGCUGGUCCCAUCACACCUCUGCACUGGAGUUCCUGAAAAGACCUGUGUCAUCCUUAAUCACCUGAAUGAGACGGUGGCACUGAAAGUAACUCUGAUGUACAAAAUGCAGAAGAGGUCCCUCCUCACAGACCUGGUGACGAAGAGGAACUAUUUCUACUGCAGUUCCUUCAUGAUUCCAGAAUUACCAUCUUCCUGGGUGGUCAUUGCUGUGGAGGUAGAGGGGGCAACUCUGCAUUUCACAAAGAGCAAAUCAAUAUAUAUAACUACAGCAGAGAACCUAGUCUUUGUCCAGACAGACAAACCCAUAUACAAACCAGGACAAACAGGUAUGAGGAAUCAAAUGAGCAAGGGGAACUUUGGGAGAGGGGAGGAGCUUCUUUAUUACUUUAUUCUGCAAUCCUGGGAAUUCAGGCAUGCUAUUACUACCCCAGGCUCCACGGGGUGAUUUCACAGGAAAAUACCUCUGUUUCAGUGAAAUUCCGUGUUGUCUCUAUGGAUGUCAAUUUCCACCCUUUGGAUGAAAUGGUGAGUCUCGUAAUGAUGGGUGAUGGCUGAGGGAAAAAGGAAGGCCUAUUCUUUUGGGAAACUUGAGACCAGUUAAAGAGGUAUUUUAAGCCCACCACAUGAAGAUCUCAUAAGGGUAUCUCUGCUAGAAGAAUAAGGGAUGUCAGAAUCAAGGCACUCCAUAAACUGCAUUCUUAAAAUGAAUUCAGUAUGCAGUUGAAGCUGUCCUCUUAAAGAUUCCAGUUACUUUCAUUGAAUAAAUGUGUGAAUUUGAUUUCCCUCUUAAACAAAUAUCAUCUGUGAAAUAAUAAUAAACUUAUUAUUCGGACCUUUUUAUCUAAAUAGGUUUCCUCAAUUGUAUGUUAUUUAACAAUAGGGAAGUCAUGACUUCGUGAAAGAUGUAUGUCCCAAACUAAACAUACAAAGUGCUGUGAACCAAAUGGGGUAUUUCCU